rnacentral:rRNA from 1 species
AAACAGCCGCGUKAGCGUGAGCGURCUAAGGUMGCGUMAUAAUUAGCCUUUUAAUUGAAGGCCAGUGAAUGGCAAGACUAGGAGCACCUUUACUUUGCAUGUAAAAAAAACUUUUUACCUAAGUGAAAAAACUUAGAUAAUAARGGUAGACGAAAAGACCCCGCGGAGCUUUACCUUUUCCUGUACUAUUAUAUACCGAUUUUAACUACUUAAGGUUUGAUUGGGGCAAUCUUGGAACCAAUAAAGCUUCCAAUUUAUCAAAUAAACUUAUUUAAAGCUUAUUAAGAACCAAAAAGAAGUUACCCCGGGGAUAACAGCGUAAUCUAACUUGAGAGUACAUAUCGAARGUUGGGUUUGCGACCUCGAUGUUGGCUUAAGG